CAGCCGCCGCGGUAAUACGUAGGGUGCAAGCGUUGUCCGGAUUUAUUGGGCGUAAAGAGCUCGUAGGCGGUUAGUCACGUCGGAUGUGAAAACCAGGAGCUUAACUCCUGGCCUGCAUUCGAUACGGGCUGACUAGAGUGUUGUAGGGGGGACUGGAACUCCUGGUGUAGCGGUGAAAUGCGCAGAUAUCAGGAAGAACACCGGUGGCGAAGGCGGGUCUCUGGGCAACUACUGACGCUGAGGAGCGAAAGCGUGGGGAGCAAACAGGAUUAGAUACCCUGGUAGUCCACGCCGUAAACGGUGGGCGCUAGGUGUGGGGAACAUUCCACGUUCUCCGUGCCGCAGCUAACGCAUUAAGCGCCCCGCCUGGGGAGUACGGCCGCAAGGCUAAAACUCAAAGGAAUUGACGG
rnacentral:rRNA from 1 species